GACGAACGCUGGCGGCGUGCUUAACACAUGCAAGUCGAACGGAAAGGCCCUGCUUUUGUGGGGGGCUCGAGUGGCGAGCGGGUGAGUAACACGUGAGUAACCUGCCCUUGACUUUGGGAUAACUUCAGGAAACUGGGGCUAAUACCGGAUAGGAGCUCCUGCUGCAUGGUGGGGGUUGGAAAGUUUCGGCGGUUGGGGAUGGACUCGCGGCUUAUCAGCGUGUUGGUGGGGUAGGGGCUUACCAAGGCUUUGACGGGUAGCCGGCCUGAGAGGGUGACCGGCCACAUUGGGACUGAGAUACGGCCCAGACUGCUACGGGAGGCAGCAGUGGGGAAUAUUGCACAAUGGGCGGAAGCCUGAUGCAGCAACGCCGCGUGCGGGAUGACGGCCUUCGGGUUGUAAACCGCUUUCGCCUGUGACGAAGCGUGAGUGACGGUAAUGGGUAAAGAAGCACCGGCUAACUACGUG
rnacentral:rRNA from 1 species